rnacentral:lncRNA from 1 species
UGUAAUCCAGGGCUGGGGAUGUGGCUCAAGCGGUAGCGCGCUCGCCUGGCAUGUGUGCGGCAGGGGUUCGAUCCUCAGCACCACAUAACAAAGAUGUUGUGUCCGCCGAAAACUAAAAAAAAAAAAAUGUAACCAAAUGUGAGAGAUGCAACUGAAGCAGUCUUUUGAGGGAAAUUUAUACAAAUAAUAAUGAAACUACAAUACACAAGUUAUGCCAAGAAGUCAAUUUGAUAAUGACACAAAAUGAAUAAAUACUUUUAAAGGCACAACUGGACAAAUUGAAUCAAGACAAAAUAAGAAAUGUGAACCCAUACAUGUAAAUUAAACAAAUUAAAUUCAUAAUUUCAAAUAUUCCAGGGGGCCAGGCACAAUGGUGCACACUUGUAAUCCCAGCUACUUGGGAGGCUAAGCCAGGAGGAUUAUACAUUCAAGGCCAGCCUCAGCAACUUAGCAAGGCCCUAAGUAACUUGGAGAGACCCUGUCUUCAAAUAAAAAAAAAGAACUGGGGAUGUCGCUCAGUGGUUAAGUGGCCCUAGGUUCAAUUCCCAGUACCAAAUACAUAUAAUAUAUAUGUAUAUACAUGUAUAUAUUUAUUUAUAUGUAUAUACAUAAGGAUAUCUAUAGUGUGUGUGCGUGACACAUGCAUCCAUACCAGGGGCUAGGGACAUAGCCCUGAGGUAGAAUGCUUGCCUAGCAUGUGAAAAGCCCUGAGUUUAGUCUCCAGCACACACACACAUACAUAAACAAACAACAAACAAACAAAAAACAUAAUGUAAAAAUAUUCCACAAAGAAAAUUCCAGGCUCAGAUGGCUCACUGGUAAAUUCAAUCACUGCUCUAAGAAUAAACACCAAUCUUACACAAACUCCUCAAAAAAAUUAGAGGAGGGAAAAAUAGUUCCCAAAUAAUUUGAUGAGGUUAAUAUCACCCUGAUACAAGACCAGACAAAUAGAUCAAAAGGAAACUUCAUCUGUGUCACGAGGGGGCAAAAUUGUGACAUAUGCAGUCGAGGGGAGAAAUAAAGAAUGUCCACAUGCUUCUGCUCCUUCCAUUGCUUUAUUCACUCAAAUUACUCAAUACAAUUUCACUCUAUAGGUUCUUAAUCAAGAAAAUGACAAUCCUUAAUGCUAGGCACUGCAAUAGACAUAAUGAAUUCACAGCAAACAAUUCUAGAUUAAUUCUAAGCACUGAAAAGCACACUUAAUCACGUUAGGCUAAUGACAGACUUUCCUCUGCAUGCUAAGUUCAAAAGUCUUAAGCCUUAGGCUUUAAGUCCAGCAGAUGCACACUCACUCAGACCACGGUGACCAGAUCCAGAACCAAGGCAGGCUUUUCCUGGAGUGGAGUGGAUGACCAGUUGAGGAGGUGGUCGUAGGGAGGAGUUGCAACUCUCACCAAGGUCCAGACAAGGCCGCAGAGUUUGAGAGCUGUGAGGAUCACGCAGAGGCUCAGGAACAAGUGAUGGAAGACAGGUCCUCAUCAGGCUCUUCAGCUCAAGUGCAUCCUUGUUUCAGCUGGCUGAAUCUCUGUUCAUUUGCUCUAUCAUUUAUACUAAAUUUGGGGGCUUUUGACCCCCCUUUCAAUCCUUAUCAGCUACCACCAGAUUUCUCAGUGACAUCAUUUACCCUGGGGUCAGAAACAUUGAUCUGGUGGUCUCCACCCUGAUCUUCUAGCCAUUCCAUCUUAUCAUCAGGUGAGCACAGCCUGCCAGAGGCUUCACUCUCUUCAUAAGGGUUAGGGGAAGUAACUUGUUUGAGGCCAUACUGGAGGGAUCUGUGGGUGUUGCCUGGUGAGACUGCAGGUCAAACUGGAGUUUUUAAAAUGGAGUUGUUUAGGCUCAGGCCUCAGACCAUCCUAAAAGUCUGCCAAUCUCUGGUAUGAGUACAGAUCCUCCAGUCAAUACUCUAUUCUACCAAAGAAUAAAGAGCUAAAAAACUGGAAUCAACAACUCUUCCUAGACAAGAAAGGUCACAGGGGAAAUGGUUAUCCCCAGAAUUAGAGAAACAGACAGGUAGACAGAAUCAUAACUUACCAUCACAGAAAACAGAAGGAAUCAGUUACAGGUAUGGCUACAAAAACCUAAAAUGUAAUUGACAAAUAGGCGGAGGCUCCAUUUAGAGAAAUGAGACAUAAAGGCUACAAGGGAGGACUGGGGAUGUAGCUCAGUGGUAGAGCAUUUCUCUAAGGUUCAUGAGGACCCAGAUUCAAUCCCCAGCACAGAAAAAAUAAAUAAAAACAAAAACUCAAGGGAGAUCCCUGAAAGUUUUAUCAAUUUUACCUGCAGGAGUUUUAUCAGGUUCUCAUAGUGAAGAUGAGAAGAAAAAUAUCCUCCAUCUUCCUUUUACUAAAGGAGAAAAACUAUAGAUAGUUUUUUUUCCUGAGAUAUAAUAUUUGUACAUCUUUAAGGCUACAAUAUAAUAGUUUGAUACAUAUGUACAAUGUAUAAUGAUUGCUACUGUUUAAAUAUUAGGUGUCCCCCCCAAAAGCUCAUGCCUGAGACAAUGCAAGAAAGUUCAGAAGUGAAAUGAUAGGGUUAUGUGAACCCUAACCUAAUCAGUAAAUUAAUCUCCUGACAGGGAUUAACUGGGUGAUAUCCAUAGACAAAUAGAGUUUGGCUAGAGGAGAUGGGUCACUGAGGGUUGAGACUUGGGGUAUAUAUUUUGUAUUUAACAAGUGGAGAGCCCUCUCUCUGCUUCCUGUUGCCAUGUUCUCAGCUGCUUUCCCCUCCACAUACUUCUACCAGGAUAUUCUGUAACACUUUGGGCCCAGAGCAACAGAGUUGGCCAUUUAUGGACUGAGGCCUCUGAAACCAUGAGGCCCCAAAUAAACUUUUCCCCCUUUAAUUGUUUUUGUCAGGAUUUUUUAUCACAGCAGCAAAAAAGAAAAAAAAAAAACUGACAAAAACAAUAAUAAAAUCAGCACUUUCCUCAAACAUUAGUCACUUCUAUGUGUUGAGAACUUUUAUACUCUUCUAGUUAUUUUGAAAUAUACCACAGUCAUUAUAAUCAAUAGUUAACCUACUGUACUAUAGAAAACCAAGAUGAAAUCCUUAUAUUUAACCAUGUUUUGGUGCCCCUAUGUAAGGUUUUCCGCUUUCCUUCCCCUCUGUCCAUGGGAUUCACAUUUUAGUUUGCACAAAUAAGUGAGAAAAAAAUGAGUAUUUUAAAAUGUGACAGAAUAUUCUGUUCGCAUUAAUAAGGGCUGCUCUCAAGAGAUGCCAUUUACCAGAUUCUGGUGAUGGUAACCAAUCUGGAGGAACGAUAAAUACUCAGCUCCAGCCUGCCAUAGCCUUCCAUGAGCUAAAAGAACUUUUCAAGAGUAAUCACCUUGGAGACCAAAGUGGAUUUAAA